UACGUAGGUGGCAAGCGUUGUCCGGAUUUACUGGGCGUAAAGAGCGCGCAGGCGGCCGAGUAAGUCGAAUGUGAAAGCCCCCGGCUCAACUGGGGAAGGUCAUUCGAUACUGUUCGGCUUGAAGAUAGGAGAGGGAAGCGGAAUUUCAGGUGUAGUGGUGAAAUGCGUAGAUAUCUGGAGGAAUACCGGUGGCGAAGGCGGCAUCCUGGACCGAGAUUGACGCUGAUGAGCGAAAGCUAGGGGAGCAAACGGG
rnacentral:rRNA from 1 species